CAAUAGCGUAUAUUAAAGUUGUUGCGGUUAAAAGCUCGUAGUUGGAUUUCUGUUGAGGAUGGGCGGUCCGCACAUCGUGCGUGUAUCUGUUACAGCCUCGGCAUCCUCUUGAAGAACGAACUGUGAUUUAUUUCGUGGUUCGGAAUUCAAGACUUUUACUUUGAGGAAAUUAGAGUGUUCACGGCAAGCAAUCGCUUUGAAUACAUUAGCAUGGAAUAAUAAUAUAGGACCUUGGUACUAUUUUGUUGGUUUCUAGAACUAAGGUAAUGAUUAAUAGGGAUAAUUGGGGGCAUUCGUAUUAACGCGUCAGAGGUGGAAUUCUUGGAUUGCGUUACGACGAACUACUGCGAAAGCAUUUGCCAAGGAUGUUUUCAUUGAUCAAGAACGAAAGUAUGGGGAUCGAAGACGAUCAGAUACCAU
rnacentral:rRNA from 1 species